UAGGAAGUAAUAUAGGGGGAGUAUGGAGGGCUUUGAUCUCUUUUGUGCAGGUUCAAUUCCUGCCUUCCUAA
rnacentral:tRNA from 1 species